rnacentral:rRNA from 1 species
CGGCACGGGUGAGUAACACGUAUGGAACCUGCCCUAUGCAGGGGGAUAAGCGGAAGAAAUUCCGUCUAAUACCGCAUAACACAUUUGGAGACAUCUCCAGGUGGUCAAAGGAGGCGACUCCGGCAUAGGAUGGCCAUGCGUCGCAUUAGCUAGUCGGCGGGGUAACGGCCCACCGAGGCGACGAUGCGUAGGGGUUCUGAGAGGAAGGUCCCCCACACUGGUACUGAGACACGGACCAGACUCCUACGGGAGGCAGCAG